UAUAGGACAUUCUUACACAGAUCGACUAAGUCCCACAGUAAGCUCAAGAAGGCUUGUGUUGUGGGUACUCAGACAACGAUAUAUAUAAUAUACAAAUACUUAAAUACCUAGAAAACAUCCAUGACUCAGGAACAAAUAUCUGUGCUCAUCACACAAAUAAAUGCCCUUACUGAGAUUGGAACCCAGGACCAUCGGCUUCACUACCCACUAGGCCAGACCGGUCGU